rnacentral:lncRNA from 1 species
UGAAAAUGAGGUCACGGUCAAAUAAAACCUGCGCGACUGACAUAAAGAUCAUAAAAUAUUUUCAUACACCAAAUAUAGUUGACCUAUGGCAUAUAGAAUUAGAUAAAAAGACCAAAACUCAAAAACUUAACUUUGACCACUGAACCAUGAAAAUGAGGUCAAGGUCACAUGACAUCUGCCCGCUAGACAUGUACACCUUACAAUCAUUCCAUACAACAAAUAUAGUAGACCUAUUGCAUAUAGUAUGAGAAAAACAGACCAAAACACAAAAAUUUAACUAUAACCACUGAACCAUGAAAACGAGGUCAAGGUCAAAUGACACCUGCCAGUUGGACAUGUACACCUUACAGUCCUUCCAUACACCGAAUAUACUAGCCCUAUUGCUUAUAGUAUCUGAGAUAUGGACUUGACCACCAAAACUUUACCUUGUUCACUGAUUCAUGAAAUUAGGUCGAGGUCAAGUGAAAACUGUCUGACAGACAUGAGGACCUUGCAAGGUACGCACAUAUCAAAUAUAGUUAUCAUAUUACUUAUAAUAAGAGAGAAUUCAACAUUACAAAAAAUCUGAACUUUUUUUUCAAGUGGUCAC